rnacentral:lncRNA from 1 species
CUCCCUCUCUCUCUGCCCCUCCCCCGUUCAUGCUCUGUCUCUCUCUCUCUCCCAAAAAAAUAAAUAAAUGUUGAAAAAAAAAUUUUUAUAAAAAAAAAAAAGAAUUUUAAAAUAACUGCAAGACAUAAAGCCUCCUGGUAAACUUCUAAUGUGUAUCUUAACAAAAUUUAGAGUAGACGUAACUGCUACUUUUGCAGUAUCCCAGAUUCUGUAUCUAAUGACAGUUGUUUCAAAUUAUGAGCCUUAAAAAGUCAAUAGUUUUCCUUAUUUAUUGUGUUGCAGUUUCAGACAAGCAUAUUUUAUCAUGGUGCACAAACUCAUCAAGCUGAAAGACAUCUAGAAAUCAUCUACAGUCAUCAGAAUAGUACAGGUCUCGGAUAAAUUCAGUGUUGAAGACCGUCAGAGCAACUGGCAUGGCCACAGAGAGAACAGUCUGGGAAUUGAAUGUUCUUUUGCCAUGCUGUAUCCUGAGUACUUAGUUUGUACGAGCACUAGUGUCUGCAUGCUGACUUCUGGAAAUCAAGACUCACCUACUGCGGGCCUCAACACAAAAUUAACACGGAGUUCAGCAAUGUAUUAAGGGAAGUUUCAGAAAAUGUCUUUUGAAUAUCAUUAUCAAAGAACGUGGGAUCCCAAAGUCACCCAGCAGGAGGCAGCAUUGUCUUUACAGCCUACAGCUGCACACAGGUGUGUUUGAUAAAGUUUUAUACAAAAUAGAACUGCAGGGCUAUGCUUCUAGGGGU